UACAGAGGUCUCAAGCGUUGUUCGGAUUCAUUGGGCGUAAAGGGCGCGUAGGCUGCGGGGCAAGUCGGGUGUGAAAUCUCAGAGCUCAACUCUGAAACUGCACUCGAUACUGCUUUGCUUGAGGACUGGAGAGGAGAUUGGAAUUCACGGUGUAGCAGUGAAAUGCGUAGAUAUCGUGAGGAAGACUAGUGGCGAAGGCGGAUCUCUGGACAGUUCCUGACGCUGAGGCGCGAAGGCCAGGGGAGCAAACGGG
rnacentral:rRNA from 1 species